ACAGGUUUCAUGGCCUUGAGCGAUCCCCCUGCCGCAGCCUCCUGAGCAGCUUGGACAGUGGGUAUGGCCAUCUCUCCGUUUGGCCCUGGGCUUCUCUACUCUGGUUUCACGUCCACAUGUCUACCACCCAGCACGUACCCUGUGGCAGUGUAUGCUCAGGUUGGUUUCUGGAUGCUCCCCGAUGGAGGUCUCUAUUUUGCUUGGAACAGGGGACUCCAGAUGCCUCCCAGUGUGGCAACCAGAGAUGUCUCCUCACGUGACCAGAAGCCAUUGGUGCAGUUGAGAACCAGAACUCAGUCUUAUGGCCACACUCGAUUGCAGUGGAGGCUGAGAAACCUUGACUCCAGUCUCCUAGGAAAGAGAAAAAGUACCUGAGGGGCUGCUGGCCAGUCUCGUUCACAAUGACCUGCUGCUGCUGCUGCUGCUGCUGCGAUACCCAUGCCUGUUACAGAGCCAGAGAGAGAGAGAGAGAGAGGAAGUGAGAAUAUGAUUGAUGGGAUGUUAGAUCUCGGUACAGUGACAAGGACAGAGAACCGCAUUCCUGUUCUGUGGCAUCUACUGUCCGUGAGUGGAUAAAUGGCGGAGACGAUGUCACAGCAAAGGAGGAGACAGCCAUGUUUAGAGUCUACUUUGGAGUCUACAACCCUUUUAAAGACAGGAGAUUUCCGGACAGGCAACGGAGAGCUGUGGAUGGAGUCUCUUCUGGAAGGUCUGUGGAGGUGUGAAGGCACAGGU